GAAAUUGCAAUUGAUGCAAUCAGUAUUAAAUCAGGUAUAUGUUCUUUGAAAACACCAAAGCCAACAUUACAAUUGACCCAAACACCGACAAAACCUUCUCUGGUACAAACAGCAAACUGCAGUUUUGAUAAUGGAAAUAUCUGCAACUUUCGUUAUGGAGCGAGAAAUUUAAUUGGACAGUUUACAGAGGUUCUACACCUAGUUGGAAUACAGGUCCCAGCAAUGACACAAGUGGAACUGGUUACUAUCUCUACAUUGAAACAUCAAGUCCACGUCAAUACGGAGAUAAAGCAACUAUUUUAACACCAUACUUAAGUGGUGAACAAUGUGUGAAGUU